UGUUGGAGCCAUGGCAAUGAUGUAAA
rnacentral:piRNA from 1 species